rnacentral:lncRNA from 1 species
CUGGGGAUGGGGCUCAGUGGUUAAGCAUCCCUAGGUUCAACCCCUGAUGCCAAAAAAAAAAAAAAAAUUGUGGACAGAGUUAAUGCAGGAAGACUGGUCAGGAGGCUGUUCCAUUCCUGGUAGAUGUGAGUCCUUUCUAUAAAAACUGAAGGAUGUAUCAACUCAGCCAAAUGAGUCAUUCGGAGAAGAUAUAUCCAACCAUUGCAUAAGUACCCAUGAGCUGAGGAGCGGGAGGAGAUGGAAAUCUCCAGAGAGGCUAUUCAUAGGCAUUAUUCAGGCUUUGAGUUUGCCCUAGUGACACUGCUAUCUGAUGGCUGCACCACACAGUCACUGUGACCACAUUGCUCUCUGAUUUCCUAUGUUUAUCAAUGUUCUCUUUAUGGGGGUCCCUCUACCUCUUCGUUGAUUUCCUUAGCAUUUCUAAUUCAAGUUCAGGAUGGAGCUAGGUUUGGUCGUCUUACUAAUUACCACUGCCCAUACCAGCUGUGGUUACUUUGUGUGGCCAGUUCCCGUGGGCCAGGCUUGACCCUGAGCUAACCUCACGGCUCCAGUCAAGGUCUAAAGUUGGUUUGCUUAGAAGGUCACUUGGGAUAAGAUUCCCAGAAUCUGGAUUGUUUUUUUAUCAUUUACUUUUUCCCCAAUUAUUUUUUUGGAGGACAUCAGGGAUUGAACUCA